GAUGAACGCUGGCGGCGUGCCUAAUACAUGCAAGUCGAGCGAACAGACGAGGAGCUUGCUCCUCUGACGUUAGCGGCGGACGGGUGAGUAACACGUGGAUAACCUACCUAUAAGACUGGGAUAACUUCGGGAAACCGGAGCUAAUACCGGAUAAUAUAUUGAACCGCAUGGUUCAAUAGUGAAAGACGGUUUUGCUGUCACUUAUAGAUGGAUCCGCGCCGCAUUAGCUAGUUGGUAAGGUAACGGCUUACCAAGGCGACGAUGCGUAGCCGACCUGAGAGGGUGAUCGGCCACACUGGAACUGAGACACGGUCCAGAAUCCUACGGGAGGCAGCAGUAGGGAAUCUUCCGCAAUGGGCGAAAGCCUGACGGAGCAACGCCGCGUGAGUGAUGAAGGUCUUCGGAUCGUAAAACGCUGUUAUUAGGGAAGAACAAAUGUGUAAGUAACUAUGCACGUCUGGACGGUACCUAAUCAGAAAGCCACGGCUAACUACGU
rnacentral:rRNA from 1 species